rnacentral:rRNA from 1 species
AUUGAACGCUGGCGGCAUGCCUUACACAUGCAAGUCGAACGGCAGCACGGGAGCUUGCUCCUGGUGGCGAGUGGCGAACGGGUGAGUAAUGCAUCGGAACGUACCCAGGAGUGGGGGAUAACUAUCCGAAAGGAUGGCUAAUACCGCAUAUUCUGUGAGCAGGAAAGCGGGGGAUCGCAAGACCUCGCGCUCUUGGAGCGGCCGAUGUCGGAUUAGCUAGUUGGUGAGGUAAAGGCUCACCAAGGCGACGAUCCGUAGCAGGUUGGAGAGGAUGAUCUGCCACACUGGGACUGAGACACGGCGCAGACUCCUACGGGAGGCAGCAGUGGGGAAUUUUGGACAAUGGGGGCAGCCCUGAUCCAGCCAUGCCGCGUGAGUGAAGAAGGCCUUCGGGUUGUAAAGCUCUUUCGGCGGGGAAGAAAUAGCAACGGCUAAUAUCCGUUGUUGAUGACGGUACCCGUAUAAGAAGCACCGGCUAACUACGUGCCAGCCGCCGCCGUAA